rnacentral:ncRNA from 1 species
GGAUUGGCUACGGGUAUCCUCGUUCGUGAUGACGCUUUCCCUUGCCUUGUCAAGUAUUGUACUUGACUUGCAGGAGGUAAUGGCUAGCGACGAGGGUUGAGAGAAUACCGUUAGAACCUGAUCAGCGCUCAUACCUGCGUAGGGAAGCCCCCAGUAUCGCCU